rnacentral:rRNA from 1 species
UACGGAGGGCGCAAGCGUUGUUCGGAAUCACUGGGCGUAAAGCGCGUGGAGGCGGCUUGGCAAGUCGGGUGUGAAAACCCGGGGCCUAACCCCGGAACUGCAUUCGAAACUGCCUCGAUCGAGUCCCGGAGAGGAUGGUGGAAUUCCCGGUGUAGUGGUGAAAUACGUAGAUAUCGGGAGGAACACAAGCGGCGAAGGCGGCCAUCUGGACGGUGACUGACGCUGAGACGCGAAAGCGUGGGGAGCAAACAGG